rnacentral:rRNA from 1 species
UACGAAGGGGGCUAGCGUUGUUCGGAAUUACUGGGCGUAGAGCGUGCGCAGGCGGCUUCUCAAGUCAGGGGUGAAAGCCCAGAGCUCAACUCUGGAAUUGCCUUUGAGACUGAGUGGCUUGAGUACGAGAGAGGUGAGUGGAAUUCCCAGUGUAGAGGUGAAAUUCGUAGAUAUUGGGAAGAACACCGGUGGCGAAGGCGGCUCACUGGCUCGUAACUGACGCUCAUGCACGACAGCGUGGGGAUCAAACAGG